rnacentral:rRNA from 1 species
UGGGGAAUCUUGCGCAAUGGGCGAAAGCCUGAUCCAGCAAUGCCGCGUGUGUGAAGAAGGCCUUCGGGUUGUAAAGCACUUUUAUCGGGAGCGCGGUACCCGAGGAAUAAGCACCGGCUAACUUCGUGCCAGCAGCCGCGGUAAUACGAAGGGUGCAAGCGUUAAUCGGAAUUACUGGGCGUAAAGGGUGCGUAGGCGGUUACCUAAGUCCGUUGUGAAAGCCCUGGGCUCAACCUGGGAAUUGCAGUGGAUACUGGGUGACUGGAGUACGGUAGAGGAUGGCGGAAUUCCCGGUGUAGCGGUGAAAUGCGUAGAUAUCGGAAGGAACACCAAUGGCGAAGGCAGCCGCCUGGGCCUGUACUGACACUGAGACACGAAAGCGUGGGGAUCAAACAGGAUUAGAUACCCGAGUAGU